rnacentral:rRNA from 1 species
GACGAACGCUGGCGGCGUGCCUAACACAUGCAAGUCGAACGGUAAGGCCUUCGGGUACACGAGUGGCGAACGGGUGAGUAACACGUGGGUGAUCUGCCCCCUACUCUGGGAUAAGCCUGGGAAACUGGGUCUAAUACCGGAUAUGACCUCCUUCUGCAUGGUUGGUGGUGGAAAGUUUUUUCGGUAGGGGAUGAGCCCGCGGCCUAUCAGCUUGUUGGUGGGGUAAUGGCCUACCAAGGCGACGACGGGUAGCCGGCCUGAGAGGGCGACCGGCCAGACUGGGACUGAGACACGGCCCAGACUCCUACGGGAGGCAGCAGUGGGGAAUAUUGCACAAUGGGCGAAGGCCUGAUGCAGCGACGCCGCGUGGGGGAUGACGGCCUUCGGGUUGUAAACCCCUUUCAGUCGGGACGAAGCGAGAGUGACGGUACCGAUAGAAGAAGCACCGGCCAACUACGUGCCAGCAGCCGCCGUAACAC